GUGACACCUUAAAAAUAACGUUUCAGGUUUGAUUAAUGCUGCAAGAAGUUUGCACAUUUCUCUCCUUUGCUGAUAGGGCCUGCGUGCUGAUAGUUGAUUCAGUGAAUAUAUGUAGCAGUGAUAGCUCAUGGGCUCCAGAGGUCAGAUAUCUUAUUCUCUAGGCUGAAACCCUUGUUGCUUUAAGGAAACAGGAUUUUAAUAGGAAUCACAUGCAGAUUGACUACAGGGAGCCAAGCGGUAGUGGAAGAAGCAAAGUUGGCGGUUUUGGAGACGGACGUCUAUCUAUCCACAGUGGGACAAAAAUGAAGGUUAUUGAAAAGAAUCAUGCUUGGUGGAAGAAGUAAUUACAUUUUUUUUUCAAAUCUCAGAGGAAUAAUGCUUUUAUAUUUCCUGCGAUGACCCAAUUUGCACUACGAUAUGCUCCCUUAAAUGUGAUUUAAACAGAAGAGAGGACCACCCCGCCAACCAAAUGUCCAGGUCCUAUUCCAUGGAACCUAUGAACAGGUUGUCCCACAUUGCAAAAGGGACUUCACAGAUGUCGAGCUAGAGAAGAUGCGAUAAUGGAAGCGGAAUCAAAGACAGAUUUGAAGAUGCUGCUGUCUUUGGAGAGAAUGGCCAGGAGGCAAGGAACACAAGCAGCCCCUAGAAGUUGGAAAAGAAACAGGAGUGAUAAGGGGGAACUGAGGACUAAAUUUUUCUAAAGGUCUUCCUAAGGUUCCUGGAAGAAGUCACGUUUAUAAGCCAGAACUUACAUAUCUUUCUGCUGUCCCAAAAUUUUUAAACAAAACUACUCUUCCUUAACCAACUGCAAAUCAGAAAAUCUUGGAAUCUACUUAUGACCUGUAAGCCUCCGCUUCAAGAUACCCCACCUUUUUAGACCAAAGCAAUGACUAACCUCCAUGUAUUGAGGUAUGAUUUUGCCUGUAACUUCUGCCUUCUUGAAAGUUACCCAUACCUUUAAAGACCCUUGCUUGCAAGCCACUGAGAAGAUGGGUCUAAAGUGUGCAUUGCCCCAUUCUCCUUGCCUGGUUCCCUGCAAAUAAAUGCCCUGCUUUCUGCAGUGGCAAACCUCA
rnacentral:lncRNA from 1 species